rnacentral:rRNA from 1 species
AUUGAACGCUGGCGGCAGGCCUAACACAUGCAAGUCGAGCGAGCGGCGGACGGGUGAGUAAUGUAUGGGGACUGCCCGAUAGAGGGGGAUAACUACUGGAAACGGUGGCUAAUACCGCAUCCUAUCGGAUAACCCAUAUGGGAUUAGCUAGUCGGUGGGGUAAAGGGUCACCUAGGCGACGAUCUCUAGCUGGUCUGAGAGGCUGAUCAGCCACUCUGGGACUGAGACAGGGCCCAUACUCCUACGGAGGCAGCAGUGGGGAAUAUUGCACCAUGGGCGCAAGCCUGAUGCAACCAUGCCGGGUGUAGGAAGAAGGCCUUAGGGUUGUAAAGUACUUUCAGCUGGGAGGCAUUGCCCGCAGAAGAAGCACCGGCUAACUCCGUGCCAGCAGCCGCGGUAAUUC